GUCAGUAGGAGAUUUGGAGACAGUGAGAGAUUCCUAAAUAUUGAAGAUGGAAGAUCAAUUUCAGUUCUAGCUUUAAAAAUUAUCAAGCUUGUAUUUAAGUCUCAUUUUAUUGUUCUAAAUGAUUAUUAUUACUGUCCCGAUUUUCUUUUAAAUAUCAUUUCUGUAGGCCUUUUGAUCAAAUCGAAUUAAAAAAUUUUAAUAAAGAAAAACUUUUGUGCUAUCAUU
rnacentral:lncRNA from 1 species